rnacentral:rRNA from 1 species
UGGGGAAUAUUGCACAAUGGGCGCAAGCCUGAUGCAGCCAUGCCGCGUGUGUGAAGAAGGCCUUCGGGUUGUAAAGCACUUUCAGCGAGGAGGAAGGGUAGUGUGUUAAUAGCACAUUGCAUUGACGUUACUCGCAGAAGAAGCACCGGUUAACUCCGUGCCAGCAGCCGCGGUAAUACGGAGGGUGCAAGCGUUAAUAGGAAUUACUGGGCGUAAAGCGCACGCAGGCGGUUUGUUAAGUCAGAUGUGAAAUCCCCGCGCUUAACGUGGGAACUGCAUUUGAAACUGGCAAGCUAGAGUCUUGUAGAGGGGGGUAGAAUUCCAGGUGUAGCGGUGAAAUGCGUAGAGAUCUGGAGGAAUACCGGUGGCGAAGGCGGCCCCCUGGACAAAGACUGACGCUCAGGUGCGAAAGCGUGGGGAGCAAACA